GGCCCCGCACAAGCGGUGGAGCAUGUGGUUUAAUUCGAUGCAACGCGAAGAACCUUACCAGGGCUUGACAUACUGUGAAUGAAUCAGAGAUGAAUCAGUGCCUUCGGGAACGCAGAUACAGGUGGUGCAUGGCUGUCGUCAGCUCGUGUCGUGAGAUGUUGGUUAAGUCCCGCAACGAGCGCAACCCUCGUCUUUAGUUACGUUGAAACUCUAGAGAGACUGCUGGUGAUAAACCGGAGGAAGGUGAGGAUGACGUCAAGUCAGCAUGCCCCUUACGCCCUGGGCGACACACGUGCUACAAUGGCCGGGACAAAGAGUCGCAAGUUUGCAAAGACAAGCU
rnacentral:rRNA from 1 species